GCGUGUUGAAGUCGGUAGUGCAACGAUUCAGUACGCUCUUCUGGAAAGAGUGAGAUGUGGGUUCGAAUCCCGACUGACGCA